rnacentral:misc_RNA from 1 species
CCGAGUUUACAACUCCCAACCCCUGUGAACAUACCCACUUGUUGCCCCUGCCCGGCGAUCAGCCCGCUCCGGUAAAACGGGACGGCCCGCCAGAGGACCCCUAAACUCUGUUUCUAUAUGUAACUUCUGAGUAAAACCAUAAUAAAUAAAACUUC